AGAGUUUGAUUAUGGCUCAGAACGAACGCUGGCGGCAUGCCUCAUACAUGCAAGUCGAACGAGGUCUUCGGACCUAGUGGCGCACGGGUGAGUAACAUGUGGGAAUCUACCUGAAGGUUCGGAAUAACUGCGGGAAACUGUAGCUAAUACCGGAUGUGUCUGCAAAGAGAAAGAUUUAUCGCCUUCAGAUGAGCCCGCACUAGAUUAGCUAGUUGGUGAGGUAAUUGCUCCACCAAGGCUACGAUCUAUAGCUGAUUUGAGAGGAUGAUCAGCCACACUGGGACUGAGACACGGCCCAGACUCCUACGGGAGGCAGCAGUAGGGAAUAUUGGACAAUGGGGGAAACCCUGAUCCAGCAAUGCCGCGUGAGUGAAGAAGGCCUUCGGGUUGUAAAACUCUUUCAUCAAUGAAGAUAAUGACAUUAAUUGAAGAAGAAGCUCCGGCUAACUCCGUGCCAGCAGCCGCGGUAAUACGGAGGGGGCUAGCGUUGUUCGGAAUCACUGGGCGUAAAGCGUAUGUAGGCGGAUCAAAAAGUUAGAUGUGAAAUCCCUGGGCUCAACCCAGGAACUGCAUUUAAAACUAGUGAUCUAGAAUUUGGUAGGGGCCAGUAGAAUUUCCAGUGUAGAGGUGAAAUUCGUAGAUAUUGGAAAGAAUACCAGUGGCGAAGGCGACUGGCUGGGCCAUUUUUGACGCUGAGAUACGAAAGCGUGGGUAGCAAACAGGAUUAGAUACCCUGGUAGUCCACGCAGUAAACGAUGAGUGCUAGUCGCUGGGACAAUAGUUUCAGUGUCGAAGCUAACGCAUUAAGCACUCCGCCUGGGAAGUACGGUCGCAAGAUUAAAACUCAAAUAAAUUGACGGGGGCCCGCACAAGCGGUGGAGCAUGUGGUUUAAUUCGAAGCAACGCGAAGAACCUUACCAGACCUUGACAUGGUAUGUUUGAAUUACAGAAUCGUAAUUCUUCAGUUCGGCUGGCAUACACACAGGUGCUGCAUGGCUGUCGUCAGCUCGUGUCGUGAGAUGUUGGGUUAAGUCCCGCAACGAGCGCAACCCUCAUUUUUAGUUGCCAUCAGGUUAAGCUGGGCACUCUAAAAAAACUGCCGGUGAUAAGCUGGAGGAAGGCGGGGAUGACGUCAAGUCCUCAUGGCCCUUACGGUCUGGGCUACACACGUGCUACAAUGGUGGUGACAGUGGGCAGCAAUACUGCAAAGUAAAGCUAAUCCCAAAAAACCAUCUCAGUUCGGAUUGGACUCUGCAACUCGAGUCCAUGAAGUUGGAAUCGCUAGUAAUCGUAGAUCAGCAUGCUACGGUGAAUACGUUCUCGGGCCUUGUACACACCGCCCGUCACGCCAUGGGAGUUGGUUUUACCUUAAGCCGGUGCGCUAACCGCAAGGAAGCAGCCGUCCACGGUAGGGUCAGCGACUGGGGCGAAGUCGUAACAAGGUAACCGUAGGGGAACCUGCGGUUG
rnacentral:rRNA from 1 species